GGUUCAUCUCCUAGAAUCUUUGAUCCAGGAGAUCCUCUCGACUGUGAGUCAAGGGUCUUCUGGUAAAAUGAAGGUAAGGAUCCUCUGGGGGUGGAAUCAUGAUCAGACUGAGGACUCUUCGCCCUCUGCUUCCCCUUUUCGGAGAAGACAGGGCGACUCGCCCAAGUGGCCCACCCGAUCGUCGGAUUCUGAAACUCUGACGAUGCUCUUUCCAGCCAC
rnacentral:lncRNA from 1 species